rnacentral:rRNA from 1 species
AUUGAACGCUGGCGGCAGGCCUAACACAUGCAAGUCGAACGAGUGGCGGACGGGUGAGUAAUGUCUGGGAAACUGCCCGAUGGAGGGGGAUAACUACUGGAAACGGUAGCUAAUACCGCAUACCAUCGGAUGUGCCCAGAUGGGAUUAGCUUGUAGGUGAGGUAACGGCUCACCUAGGCGACGAUCCCUAGCUGGUCUGAGAGGAUGACCAGCCACGCUGGAACUGAGAGACGGUCCAGACUCCGACGUGAGGCAGCAGAGGGGAAUAUUGCAAAAGUGGGGAAAGCCUGAUGCAGCCAUGCCGUGUGUAUGAAGAGGGGCUUCGGGUUGUAAAGUAAUUUCAGCGGGGAGGCGUUACCCGCAGAAGAAGCACCGGCUAACUCCGUGCCAGCAGCCGCGGUAAUAC